rnacentral:rRNA from 1 species
AGUGAACGCUGGCGGUAGGCCUAACACAUGCAAGUCGAACGGCAGCACAGUAAGAGCUUGCUCUUACGGGUGGCGAGUGGCGGACGGGUGAGGAAUACAUCGGAAUCUACUUUUUCGUGGGGGAUAACGUAGGGAAACUUACGCUAAUACCGCAUACGACCUACGGGUGAAAGCAGUGGAUCUUCGGACCUUUCGCGAUUGAAUGAGCCGAUGUCGGGUUAGCUAGUUGGCGGGGUAAAGGCCCACCAAGGCGACGAUCCGUAGCUGGUCUGAGAGGAUGAUCAGCCACACUGGAACUGAGACACGGUCCAGACUCCUACGGGAGGCAGCAGUGGGGAAUAUUGGACAAUGGGCGCAAGCCUGAUCCAGCCAUACCGCGUGGGUGAAGAAGGCCUUCGGGUUGUAAAGCCCUUUUGUUGGGAAAGAAAAGCAGCAGGUUAAUACCCCGCUGUUCUGACGGUACCCAAAGAAUAAGCACCGGCUAACUUCGUG